AGAUCCAGACUAACACGGCUACCCCUCUGAUACUUGUAAUUUGGGAAGUGUGGCUUCAAGUGUCUGAUCUCGCUAACCAACAGCAGGAAUUGCAGGGUUUCUUCUGAGCACGAAACAAGCGGGCAGUGUUGCUUUAAUGCAGCUGUUGUUUGCCGUUGAUGAUCAUUCCUGCUUUCCUUUUGGAGAGUAGCGAGGGGGAUAACACGGACUGAGUGGU